CUGCACACAGACGAACUCUAUCAGUUCUUCAGCAGACCAGAGCGCCUUCUCGCCAACUUGGACCUGUGAGUUGAAGGAAAAACAACAACCAGCUACAGCGGGAGUCAGCCAGAGAGGGGCAGGUGGAGGAGGGGGUGAGGGUGGCACUGCUGAAGCUGGUCACCGACGGGUCACGGCCCAUGGGGGAGAUGUCUGACAGCUUGAGCGAGAGAGCGGAAACAAGGAAGGGGAGAUUAAGACAGUAGUAACCACACUGAUUUGGUGAAAUUUAGUUGGCAGACAAUGUCAUGUUGUUCUGUUAAGGCAUUGCAGCUUGUUAUCGAUCCACCUCUACUGUAUCUCACCUUGCAGUCACUGAUGCUGUUGCACACCUGGUUGUAUUCACUGUUGAAAGUGUGGGUCAGAAGGCGGAGGCACUACAGGACAACAGAUAAUAUGGUGAAUGUUAUGUUGUGUACAUUGUGUCCUAUUCGUUGUGAAAUGUUUGUUGUUGACUUUAUGGAUAUGAUUCUGCUGCAAAACCAAUUUCCCCUUGAGGGACAAUACAGUUUUCUACUAUGAGUUAUUCCAGUGCUGGGCUCAAAUUCACAACAAACCAGUGGGCUCCCACAGUUGACAGUGCAUGUCAGAGCGAAAACCAAGCCAUGAGGUCGAAGGAAUUGUUUAUAGAGCUCCGAGACAGGAUUGUGUCAAGACACAGAUCUGGUGAAGGGUACCAAAACAUGUCUGCAGCAUUGAAGAUCCAAGAACACAGUGGCCUCCAGCAUUCUUAAAUGGAAUAAGUUUGGAAGCACCGAGACUCUUCCUAGAGCCGGCCAAACUGAGCAAUUGGCGGAGAAGGUCCUUGGUCAGGGAGGUGACAAAGAACCCUGUGGUCACUGACAGAGCUCCAGAGUUCCUCUGUGAAGAUGGGAGAACCUUCCAGAAGGACAACAAUCACUGCAGCACUCCACCAAUCAGCAGGCCUUCAUGGUAGAGUGGCCAGAUGGAAGCCACUCCUCAGUAAAAGGCACAUUACAGCCUUUUCAAGAUUCUCUGGUCUGAUGAAACCAAGAUUGAACUCUUUGGCCUGAAUGCCAAGCAUCACAUCUGGAGGAAACCUGGCACCAUCCCUACGGUGAAACAUGGUGGUGGCAGCAUCAUGUUGUGGGGAUGUUUUUCAGAGGCAUGGAUUGGGAGACUAAUCAGGAUUAACGGAAAGAUGAACGGAGCAAAGUACAGAGAUAUCCUUGAUGAAAACCUGCUCCAGAGCGCUCAGGACCUCAGACUGGGGUGAAAGUUCACCUUCCAACAGGAGAACGACCCUAAGCGCACAGCCAAGACAAUGCAGGAUUGGCUUUGGGACAAGUCUCUGAAUGUCCUUGAGUGGCCCAGCCAGAGCCCGGACUUGAACCUGAUCGAACAUAUCUGGAAAGACCUGAACAUAGCUGUGCAGUGACGCUCCCCAUCCAACUUGAAAGAGCUUGAGGGGAUCUGCAGAGAAGAAUGGGAGAAACUCCCCAAAUACAGGUGUGCCAAGCUUGUAGCGUCAUACCCAAGAAGACUCAAGGCUGUAAUCGCUGCCAAAGAUGCCUCAAAGUACUGAGUAAAGGGUCUGAAUACUUAUGUAAAUGUAAUAUUUCCGUUUUUUAUUUUUUAAUACAUUUUCAAAAAAUUUGUUUUUGCUGUGGCAUUGUGGGGUAUUCUGUAUAGAUUGAUAAGGGAAAAACACAAAUUAAUCCAUUUUAUAAAAAGGCUGCAACGUAACGAAAUGUGGGGUCUGAAUACUUUCCAAAUGCACUGGAUUUAGGUCAGUCAGCUGGCCAACUCAUUGACCCUGCUUUCUGGAACACCCCACCCCAUUCCUUUGUUGGGGACCAUGUGCAGUACAACUUUAGCAGGUACAGUUUGUAAACCAUUAAAACAGGGUCAUAUUCAUUAGGCAUCAAACAAAAGAAAAUGGACUGAAACAGAGAGACUACUUGGACUUAAGAAACUGUCAUUUACGUUUUCCUUUAAAACAUUUUCCUUGCAUUCCCUAAUGAAUAUAACCAUGGGGUGUAUUUAUUAGUGCAAACCGUAGCUACUGAAAUCAUGUGUUUCUUAUUGGACAAGUUCAGGUUAAUCCCUCCCAGUUUCAGCCCAUUUAUAAAAUUCUUUGUUUCCCCAUCUCCUUCCUCCCUCCCUCCUCACCUUGGUGGCCAGCUCCUUCUCGCGGUCCACCAGGCUCUCGAUGUCGGCCGAGUCGUAGCCACUGCUCUCGCUGGGUGUGAUUGCACUCUCGAAGGUGGUGCUGGAGAUCUGGGAGGAGAUGGAGGUGGAGGUGCUCAGGGUGCCGCUGCUCAUGCUAGGGGACAGUGACUCGCUCAGGGACUUGCUGGUGGGCCCCCCAGGGCCUGUAGCUGGAGCAGUCUCCACCAGCUUCUCUCUCAGCAGCAGCAGGUGACGCGUCUUCUCCACCUGGAGGGGGAAGGAAAAGGAACGAAGCGUGAGAGAGUUUGAAAUUAAUUUUAUCCAAAUUGUGCACUAUACAGGGAAGAGGGCUUUGGUCAAAAGUAUAAUUCAUGAUACAGGACAUAGGGCUCUAGCAAAAAUAAGCCAUUAUAUAGGGAAUAUGGCUCUGGUCUAAAGUAGUGCACUACAUAGGAUUUUUUUAGUUGUUGCCAUUUCAGGCUUCCCUUUGCCCUCAACACUCUCAAAGUGCUCAGGCACCUCAUGCAGCUGCUCCAUUUUCUCCAGCUCCCAUUGGUGCUCCAAGAUGAGGCUGUCUCCUCUGGGCCUCCAGCCAGCCAGGUUCUCCUCUCCCCGGACGUAGGCCACAGAAGUGUCCAGAAUCUUCCUCCUCCUCCGCUGCAUACCUGAGUAGCAAACAAACACUCACUUCUCAGUAUAUAGUGGAAAGGGGGAGCGAUACAAAGAGCUAGAGAGAGAGAGAGAGCAUGCAGACAUGGAUCCUGUCAUGAAUUUAAACCAGCUCUGAUUAAGACAUAAGAAGGUUGAAACGUCACUACCUCCGAGGGUGGCUGUUAUAUCAAUACACAACUGUUUGUCUGGACUUAUACCAAGCACACACAAGCACUAUAGAAAACAGGGGAGUGGAAAGGAGUAUGUUUGGGGGGUAUAUUUUAGCUAUCCUCUGCUAUUAAGUUUGGUUCAUAGAUAAGGCUAACGGUGCUUUUAUCCCAAUACCAACAGUGUUUCGAGAGAGAGAGAUUGCACUAACCUGGGCUUCCUGUGUCAGACAUCUUGCACAAGCUCAGCUCAUAGAUGCCAGUCACUCUGUUGCUGUAAUACAGAACACAAGAGGUUAUAUUAGGGUGUUGUUCAUCAAGGUCGUAUCUUAAGGCUGAAUAUAAAAUGGCUGAUAGCUGAUUAUUUGUCAACAUAGAUAACCGACAGCUGUGUAUUAGUCAUAGACAAGAGGUUGGUGGCACCUUAAUUGGGGAGGACAGGCUCGUGGUAAAGGCUGGAGCAGAAUUGUUGGAAUGGUAUUUGAUGCCAUUCCAUUUGCUCCGUUCAAGCCAUUAUUAUGAGCUGUCCUCCCCUCAGCAGCCUCUACUGGAGUCAUAAAGGGUGUACACAAAAUGGCUGACAGCUGCUUAUCUGUCAACUUAGAUAUCUGACAGCUGUCUACGAGUCAUAUAGAAGGUGGACACAAAAUGACUGUCAGAUGUCUUACCAGUCAGGGGUCUUGGAGUAGCCGCUUCCAAAGAGGUUCCUCAGGGAGCGGGGAGGGGAGAUCUUGGCGUCUCGGGAGUAGAAGACCAUGCAGAUGUCUUUGGUAAUAAUGGCAGGCUGAAUGCAGUGGUCGAGCUGUGGAGUGGAGAAACGGUUAGCAUGUUAGCGCUCAAGCUCCUGAGUGCAGAGCACUGUAAAUGAGUGGAUACUGUAACACUACUGUAUAUAGUGCUUAUGGGGCUGUUAUACAUCAUUAUUCACAAUACAUUCUUAUUUACAUGUAUGCAGCCCUUUUAAAGUAUGGCCGAAUAAGAAUAUCUGUAUUAUAGCAGUACAUGUUUAGAAGUUUGAUUUACCUACAAGUGUCCUUGACACUUAUCAAUUAUAGAUAUCAUUUAAUGUGUUUCAUUGAUGAUAAUUAUCAUCUGCAAAUAAAAUCCCUAAAUCCUAAACAGUAGGCUUAGAGACGGUAGAUUAUGUUUUAUUAAUACACAAUACCAAUUCAUUAUUGAGACAGGAUUCCCUAGGUUGGUGGAUACAGUAAAAUCAAGAUGGCAGGCAGGGCUGACCUCCAGGUAUGCAGACAGGGUCAUGAAGAUCUUCUCUCCGUAGGGAGUGACUCGGUUGAGCAGAAGGGAGUUGUGCAGAGAGCUGUCCCACACAGCCUCGAAUCUGUAGAAGGUCCUGAGCGGAAAAGAUGAGAGGUCAGUACUCCACGUUUACAGACUGAGGCCAUGUCUGAAAUGACAACCUAUUUCCUGUCAAGCACACUACUUUUGUGCACUAGAAGCAGUGUAUUAUAGGCAAUAGGGUGUCUGUGGCUCUGGCUAAAAGUAGUGCACUGUAUAGCUGCCAUUUUGGCCGCACCCUGGUGGAUCAUUUCAACUGUGUGGGACAUUUCUAAAAUGGCUGUUCAGUGUCACAAUGAGGCUGGUUGUGGUUCCUCCAAGGUUCUCUCCUUUAUAUCACAAUAGAGGUGUGAGAGUAAGCAACCAACAGUUCAUAAUAUAGCCUGAUGUAGCAGCGUAAUCUACUCACUGAAGGUUAGAGAAAAAUCACUGGGGUUGGGGUCAAUUUAGGUAACCAUAUUGCACAUCAACUAUUGCUAUAUAUUUGCUAGUAGUAUUUUGAAAGACUUUGCAAAUGCUACCAGAACAUCAUUUUGUAAUAGACAAAGGUCUGUAUGGCAUGUGGACACAACCAGACACAUAUUAUAGGAAGUAGCCUAGCUGUAACUAAGUUAAUAAGUAGCCACGGGGAGUAACUGAAGUAAAUGUCAGUGUUAUCUACUGCUCUCUCUCCCCAACUGUUACCAAAACAUAUACUAGAGUAGAAAAUAGAGCCCAGAGAUACGGUACAAAUGUUAAUAUUUGUAACCUAACUUGCUUUUUCUAACUGUUUCUGAGGGGAAAUAAAGCUGUAUUAAAAUGGACGAAUUGAAGAGGGGAUAAUACUGGAUUCUAAGCAUUAUAUGACACACCAAUGAAUCCCUGAACUAUGGUUGUGGAAGUGAAAGCACUGCUACACACGCGGUCCUGGUGACGACUAGGAGUGAGGAAACGCACGGAGGUGAGACCUGAACAGCACGCACGCUUUGAGCAGGUGUCACGCUACAACGCAAGUGUGAAAAGCUGGUCAAGAGCUUUGAGUGCUUAAGCUUUUUUAUAGAUAAGGGCCAUUUUAAUUCUUAUGAGGGGAAAUUAAGUAUGGUCAAAAGUAGUGCACUAAACAGGGAAUAGGGUGCCAUUUGGGAUGCAUGGGUGCCAUUUGGGAUGCAUACACCCUUGGGAGUGAGGACACCUCAUAUACGGAAGGGUUCAUUCCAUUGUGUUCUACUCUUGAAAUGUCACAAUCUUCACAGUCCGAUUGUGCGGUUGAUAAAAAAAACGAAUGGCUCUGAUUGCAAGACGCCCUGAAUAAGAUAACUGCUAAAUGACUAAAACGUCAAUGUAAAUCUGUGCUGCGCCUACUCGUUUGUGACGACUGUGUUAUGUUUUUUUAACUUGUUUUCCCCCAUGGGGAAAUUACAUUUUGAUCCAUUGAUUUUGUUGGUGUCCGUCAAUGAGCAACAGACCACUGGUUUCCAAUGAAAGUAGCAGAAGGUGUAUUUUUCAUUACUCAUGAACAAAUUCUCUACUAACCACCAGGGGGCACUACAUAACCUUUAGCUCGCCUGACCCUGCCCUCAUCCCUCAAGGACUCACGAUGGCUGACGGAGUGAUUCUGAAAAGUCCCCACUAAGCCAUAGGAUAGCAUGUUUUACAGUAAUUAGUCUUUAGAUUCCUAUUGCUUAUGUGCAAGACAAAGGGAAUUAGCAGUGUGACCUUUUCCAAAAUCAGAAAAGCCUCAGUUAACAAAAGCGUGAAUAAUAGGCUAUGAUAGCCGUGAUAAUAGAAUGAAAAAAGGAUGAAACUGUCCUCGUUUCACAAUGUGAUGAAAUGACAAAUGAGCGCAAUCAAAGAGCUGUAGAAAAUAACAAUUCCAAGCUAAUAGGUUUGUACUGGCUAGAAGGAUAUUAACCAAUGGGAGUGGUAUCAAAAGGUGUAAGACAAGAGAACACAAAUUAAGAGUUAUUACUACAGGCUAAGGGGCAAAUCCUAACUUCCCAUUGAAAUCAAUGCACGACUAAGUGACAAUUAUGACUUAAUUGCAGGGUAGGAUCCGCCCCAAUGUCUAUAAAAAGCCAAAGAGAGCCAUAAAGCUUAUUUCAGAGAAGACACUUUAUGUUCCUUGGUUGCUGGUACCUAGCAAUAUCCUUAUCAAGACAAAGCCUGAGCAAAAUCAAGAGUCCAGCCGCAGCAGGAGAAAAGAAAAACAAAAGAGAAAGCAGAGAGAGUCAAGCAACACAAACAAUGGAGUAAAUAAAAAAAGAGAGCAAAAUGUUAGCACUGGAAAUGAAUGUGAUUGCCCACAUGCAAUGUCUGUGUACAUACAUCCAAUGUCAGAGCUUAUACACACACACAACACUGAAAUGGGCCAUUUUUGCUGUCUCUUCUAGCCAGGAAAGGCAACCUUGAAAGGCAGUGACGAUUCCUUUCAAUUUGGACAGAGUUAUUCUGUUAUGAAUAACAAAACUGUUAUUUUGUUUCUACUUUUCACAGACAACAUGCAUGCCAAUUCAAUAUCAUUACCAUAUUUCACUAUACAGUACAACAAAGAUAAUCAUAUAUAAUUAGAAUUCUUAGACUACUAAAUAAAAUGCACUAUAGUCCGGUUUCCCAGACACAGAGUCUAGUUUUGGAUUACAAAGGCACUUUUACUUGAGAAUCUCCAUUGAACAUACAGAUGAAGCCUACUCCUGGACUAAGAAGUAUCUGGGAAACCAACCCUUGUCAUAAAAUCCAUCCAAAGACAUAAUAUUCUUAUACUGUAUGAUUAUCUUCUAUGCCUGUACCCUCCUGCACACGAUGAGCUAAAACCUAGGCAUUAGAUUGGGGAGCUAACGCAAUUUGAUGGUGCUACACUGCCCUACCAAGCAAAAAGGUUUGGUAGGGCAGUGUUGCACCAUAGCGUGGAACUGAGAAAAAUGGCUUUUAUUUACCUUGGUUUCACAGUAACUUUAACGCAGUUACUGCUAACAUGACCCCCAAUUUCUUCAAAACACAAUACAGGCAGGAUACUUGUCCACAUGAUUAAGCAUGUAUUUAAUAUAGCAAAAAUGACAUUGACUCAUUUUAGACCAAAUGAGCAGUUACUGCCUUUUUACUUGGUAGGGCAGUACUGGCGUACCUGUUAGCAUUGUGGGAUGAUUUGAUAUUUUUGGCAGAGAUGAUGUUGAGGGACAGGACGGCAUCUGCUGCAGAGUCGUCCACCUCUGGCUUGUUCCUGAUCCGACCUGAGGAAGCAAGCAACACAGGAUGUUCUCAUGAUGAUGAAGCCCUGUCUCUCCGGUAAUGUCGCCAGACACUGGGAUUCGAGUCAAAUUUAAUUAAAAUCAGUCAGUUCACGAAGUGACAUUUAAUUUUGUAAUUUUUUUUAUAGCUUUUCUUUGUUUAUUUAGACAUCAUUUAAAAUAGUUGCCACUUUUCAAUGAUCUUGUCUGGAACCAAUUACCUUUUGGGUAGGCCAGUUGUGUAUUUUUGUGCUAACAUAGCGGAGGCAAAUCCAUAUGCAUUUACAUUUCUCAAAUAAAAUUUAUGAAUUCAGUUGGAUUUGCCUUUAUUUUGAAGCACUCACCGACAACCAGCUCACGCACGUCCUUCCAGUGGAGCUCACUGCCCUUCUCGUGGAUGAGGGUGACGGUGAUCCGGCGCUGAAUCCCCUGCAGCACAAGCAAACAGUCAGUAUCCCAGUAGCCCAGACACAAUGACUGAACGUGUCAAUAUCAACAACGAUACCAUCAUAAACAGUCAAAUCAUGUAAUAUUAUGAAUUAUGAUCAAAAAGGCUAAACUGAUUCCAGAUCAGCACUUCUACUCAGAUGCUUUAUGAAUAUGGGCCCUGAGGGGUCUCUGUACUGUACCUGAUGCAGUAGGUAGGUUCCAUGGCAGGGCAGUCCUCCACUGUGAUCCACCACAGCUGGUAUGUACCUACGGAAAGAAGCCAGGGACAAACAUAAGUCGAACAGCCAAACCCCUGUGUUUGUAUGUGCAUGCGUCCGCAUGUGUGUAUGCUCGUGUGCAUGCGACCGUGAGUGCGUGCAGACUUGGACACUCACUCUCCGGUGGGCUCCAGCUCGCUGAUCUCGAACCACACCAGCAGGUCGUACUUGCUCACACACUGGCCCAGGUUGGACUUGCUGAUGGUGUUGAGCUUGGUGGCUGGUACUGGGGGGAAACACACACAGAGACCGAGACAGCGACAGAGACAGACAGAGAGCGAGUGAGACACGCAAACCCAUUAGACAAUCUAAAUAGCAUGUGGUAACAGAGGUGGCUGCUGAAAUAACCUCGAGAGAAAAAUGAAUUCUGCAUUUCUUGGAAAAAUGAACAGGGGAUGAUAAUCAUCAUGUACAGUACGUGUCCUACUAUUUCACACUCAGAUUUUUCUAGGGAGCUGUGGCGUACGUAAACAAUGGUUAAAUAGAUAGUGAUGAUGACAUGCGGAAACUCCUGUAACACGCUAAUGUGUUAUUAUAAGCCUGUAAACAUUCACUAAUCAAUACUCCUUACUGUACUCGAAGGGCUUAUUUCACAAGGUACAAAACAACUGUCCAAUUCUAAAUCCACUACAAUUUAAUUAAGCCGGGAACACUGCAAUCUUCAUUUAAAUACUAUCAAGGAGUGGCACUACAACACAGCCUGUCCAAACGCAAAUCACAAAUACUCUCAAUUCUAUAGCGCUACACUAGGGGACGUGGGGAGGCUAUAUGACAGAUUACACAUUAGAAGCUAUAUAUCCUGCUGAGUUAUCAAACUGCCACAUCCUGAUUAUAACUCCACCUACAUGUAAAUAUUACCUCAACUAACUGGUGCCGCCGCACAUCGACUCUGUACCGGUCCCGCCCUGUAUAUAGUCUCGCUAUUGUUAUUUCACCGCUGCUCUUUCAUUACUUGUUACUUUAUUUCUUAUCCAUAUUUUUUAAAACUGCAUUGUUGGUUAUGGGCUCGUAAGUAAGCAUUUCACUGUAAGGUCUACCUACACCUGCUGUAUUUCAGCACAUGUGACUAAUAACAUUUGAUUUACCUCUUUCGCUUUUAACAUUAUUUUUCUACAGCAGAUAGAGAUUUGCUAUUCAACUAUUCACUCAACAACACCAGAGAUUGUUAAAAGGAAACAUCAUUUUUUCUGUUCGUGUGUGUUUAGGUAAUGGAACUGGAGCCCAAAUGGCUUUAGGCCUGUAUUCUCAUGCCGUCUCAUCUCUCUGCAGCAGACACAUAGUGAGCAAUAUGUUGAGAGAGAAUGCUAAGAGUGUGCAAAGCUGUAAUCAAGGAAAAGUGUGGCUAUAUUGAAAAAUCUCAAAUAGUUUGAUUUGUUGAUCACUUUUUUGGUUACUACAGGAUUCUAUAUGUGUAUUUCAUAGUGUUGAUGUCUUCACUAUUAUGCUACUAUGGAGAAAACACUAAAAAUAAAUAAAAACCUGGGAA